UACGAAGGGGGCUAGCGUUGUUCGGAAUUACUGGGCGUAAAGAGCUCGUAGGCGGUGUGUCACGUCGGCCGUGAAAACCUGGGGCUUAACUCUGGGCGUGCGGUCGAUACGGGCAUCACUAGAGUUCGGCAGGGGAGACUGGAAUUCCUGGUGUAGCGGUGAAAUGCGCAGAUAUCAGGAGGAACACCGGUGGCGAAGGCGGGUCUCUGGGCCGAUACUGACGCUGAGGAGCGAAAGCAUGGGUAGCGAACAGG
rnacentral:rRNA from 1 species